rnacentral:rRNA from 1 species
UGGGGAAUAUUGGACAAUGGGCGAAAGCCUGAUCCAGCCAUGCCGCGUGAGUGAUGAAGGCCUUAGGGUUGUAAAGCUCUUUCGCUCGCGAAGAUAAUGACGGUAGCGAGAGAAGAAGCCCCGGCUAACUUCGUGCCAGCAGCCGCGGUAAUACGAAGGGGGCUAGCGUUGUUCGGAAUCACUGGGCGUAAAGCGUACGUAGGCGGAUCGUUAAGUCAGGGGUGAAAGCCUGGAGCUCAACUCCAGAACUGCCUUUGAUACUGGCGAUCUUGAGACCGGGAGAGGUGAGUGGAACUGCUAGUGUAGAGGUGAAAUUCGUAGAUAUUAGCAAGAACACCAGUGGCGAAGGCGGCUCACUGGCCCGGUACUGACGCUGAGGUACGAAAGCGUGGGGAGCAAAC